UACAGAGGUCUCAAGCGUUGUUCGGAUUCAUUGGGCGUAAAGGGUGCGUAGGCGGCGCGGUAAGUCGGGUGUGAAAUCUCGGGGCUUAACUCCGAAACUGCAUUCGAUACUGCCGUGCUUGAGGACUGGAGAGGAGAGUGGAAUUCCUGGUGUAGCGGUGAAAUGCGCAGAUAUCAGGAGGAACACCGGUGGCGAAGGCGGGUCUCUGGGCAGUAACUGACGCUGAGGAGCGAAAGCGUGGGGAGCGAACAGG
rnacentral:rRNA from 1 species